AUUGAACGCUGGCGGCAGGCCUAACACAUGCAAGUCGAGCGGGGUUUUCGGACCUAGCGGCAGACGGGUGAGUAACGCGUGGGAAUCUACCCUUUUCUACGGAAUAACGCAUGGAAACGUGUGCUAAUACCGUAUGAGCCCUUCGGGGGAAAGAUUUAUCGGGAAAGGAUGAGCCCGCGUUGGAUUAGCUAGUUGGUGGGGUAAAGGCCUACCAAGGCGACGAUCCAUAGCUGGUCUGAGAGGAUGAUCAGCCACAUUGGGACUGAGACACGGCCCAAACUCCUACGGGAGGCAGCAGUGGGGAAUAUUGGACAAUGGGCGCAAGCCUGAUCCAGCCAUGCCGCGUGAGUGAUGAAGGCCCUAGGGUUGUAAAGCUCUUUCACCGGUGAAGAUAAUGACGGUAACCGGAGAAGAAGCCCCGGCUAACUUCGUGCCAGCCGCCGCAGUAAGAC
rnacentral:rRNA from 1 species